GACGAACGCUGGCGGCGUGCUUAACACAUGCAAGUCGAACGGAAAGGCCCUGCUUUUGUGGGGUGCUCGAUUGGCGAACGGGUGAGUAACACGGGAGUAACCUGCCCUUGACUUUGGUAUAACUUCAGGAAACUAGGGCUAAUACCUGAUAGGAUCUCCUGUUGCAUGGUGGGGGUUGGAAAGUUUCGGCGGUUGGGGAUGGACUCGCGGCUUAUCAGCUUGUUGGUGGGGUAGUGGCUUACCAAGGCUUUGACGGGUAGCCGGCCUGAGAGGUUGACCGGCCAAAUUGGGACUGCGAUACGGCCCAGACUCCUACGGGAGGCAUCAGUGGGGAAUAUUGCACAAUGGGCGGAAGCCUGAUGCAGCAACGCCGCGUGCGGGAUGACGGCCUUCGGGUUGUAAACCGCUUUCGCCUGUGACGAAGCGUGAGUGACGGUAAUGGGUAAAGAAGCACCGGCUAACUACGUG
rnacentral:rRNA from 1 species